UACAGAGGCCUCGAGCGUUAGGCGGAAUCACUGGGCUUAAAGCGUGUGUAGGCGGACUUCUAAGUACCUUGUGAAAUCCCACGGCUCACCCGUGGAACUGCUCGGUAUACUGGUCGUCUUGAGCCUUCUAGGGGCGAGUGGAACAAAUGGUGGAGCGGUGAAAUGCGUAGAUAUCAGGAGGAAUACCGGUGGGGUAGACGGCUCUCUGGACCGCCACUGACGCUGAGACACGAAAGCGUGGGCAGCAAACAGG
rnacentral:rRNA from 1 species